rnacentral:rRNA from 1 species
AACGAACGCUGGCGGCAUGCCUAACACAUGCAAGUCGAACGAGACCUUCGGGUCUAGUGGCGCACGGGUGCGUAACGCGUGGGAACCUGCCCUUAGGUUCGGAAUAACUCCCCGAAAGGGGUGCUAAUACCGGAUAAUGUCUUCGGACCAAAGAUUUAUCGCCUUUGGAUGGGCCCGCGUUGGAUUAGCUAGUUGGUAGGGUAAAAGCCUACCAAGGCGACGAUCCAUAGCUGGUCUGAGAGGAUGAUCAGCCACACUGGGACUGAGACACGGCCCAGACUCGUACGGGAGGCAGCAGUGUGGAAUAUUGGGCGAUGGGCGAAGGCCUGAUCCAGCAAUGCCGCGUGAGUGGUGAAGGCCUUAGGGUUGUAAAGCUCUCUUACCCGGGAUGAUAAUGACGGUACCGGGAGAAUAAGCUCCGGCUAACUCCGUG